rnacentral:rRNA from 1 species
CGCUCUACAAAGGCGGGGGAAUAAGCGGGGGGCAAGUCUGGUGUCAGCCGCCGCGGUAAUACCAGCUCCGCGAGUGGUCGGGACUCUUACUGGGCCUAAAGCGCCCGUAGCCGGCCCGACAAGUCACUCCUUAAAGUCCUCGGCUCAACCGGGGGAAUGGGGGUGAUACUGUCGGGCUAGGGGGCGGGAGAGGCCAGCGGUACUCCCGGAGUAGGGGCGAAAUCCUCAGAUCUCGGGAGGACCACCAGUGGCGAAAGCGGCUGGCUAGAACGCGCCCGACGGUGAGGGGCGAAAGCCGGGGCAGCAAAAGGGAUUA